UAGUUAUAUUCUUUAAACUUAAAGAAUUUGGCGGUAUUUUAGUCUAUUUAGAGGAAUUUGUCCCUUAAUCGAUAAUCCUCGUUUUAUCUUACUUGAUUUUGUUUUAUCAGUAUGUAUAUCGUUGUUAUAAGUUUAUUUUUUUAGAAUAAAAAUUUACUUAAAUUUUAAUUUUAAUUUAUUUCAAAUCAAGGUGCAGUUUAUAAUUAAGUGGAGAUGAAUUACAAUAUUAUUUGAGUAUAUGGAUUUAACAUUAAAAAGUUAAUGAAGGUGGAUUUAAUAGUAAUUUUAAUUAUAGUGUUAAUUUGAUUUUAGCUCUAAAAUAAGUACACAUCGCCCG
rnacentral:rRNA from 1 species